GAUGAACGCUGGCGGCGUGCCUAAUACAUGCAAGUCGAGCGAACAGACGAGGAGCUUGCUCCUUUGACGUUAGCGGCGGACGGGUGAGUAACACGUGGAUAACCUACCUAUAAGACUGGGAUAACUUCGGGAAACCGGAGCUAAUACCGGAUAACAUGUUGAACCGCAUGGUUCAACAGUGAAAGACGGUUUUGCUGUCACUUAUAGAUGGAUCCGCGCCGCAUUAGCUAGUUGGUAAGGUAACGGCUUACCAAGGCAACGAUGCGUAGCCGACCUGAGAGGGGGAUCGGCCACACUGGAACGGAGACACGGUCCAGACUCCUACGGGAGGCAGCAGUAGGGAAUCGUCCGCAAUGGGCGAAAGCCUGACGGAGCAACGCCGCGUGAGUGAAGAAGGUCUUCGGAUCGUAAAACUCUGUUAUUAGGGAAGAACAAAUGUGUAAGUAACUAUGCACGUCUUGACGGUACCUAAUCAGAAAGCCACGGCUAACUACGUG
rnacentral:rRNA from 1 species